UACAGAGGGGGCAAGCGUUGUUCGGAAUUACUGGGCGUAAAGGGCGCGUAGGCGGCCUGUUAAGUCGGACGUGAAAUCCCCGGGCUCAACCCGGGAACUGCGUCCGAUACUGGCAGGCUUGAAUCCGGGAGAGGGAUGUGGAAUUCCAGGUGUAGCGGUGAAAUGCGUAGAUAUCUGGAGGAACACCGGUGGCGAAGGCGGCAUCCUGGACCGGUAUUGACGCUGAGUGAGCGAAAGCCAGGGGAGCAAACGGG
rnacentral:rRNA from 1 species